UUGCAUUUGGAAAAUGAGUUUUUCGCUGAUGUUGCUGCUGACGUGGCUGCUGUUGCAAGUGUCGUUUGCUGCCCUUGCAUUUGUCAUGGCCGAUGGAACCUGCCGCAAACCGCAUCGAGAAGAGAAAGAAAAGAGAAUACCAAAAUACGCGCAGAAAUAGCAGAAGAUCCAAAACAAGCUGCCACUGGCCCCUGGCCCGGUGGGACUGUGGCAAAGUCAGGUGCAAAGUUCUAGACAGGACCACGAAAAAACUGUUUGGCAAAUAAGUGCAUAAAUAAUGUUUAAAAUUCAAGUGGAAACUUUCGAAGACGUUGCAACUUCCAGAAGUGAGAUUAACUAUUUAUUACAUAACCUAAAAUUACGUACGGAAAAUGUUCAAAAUCUUAUUUGUCAAAAGCUUACAUUCCAUUUGUGAGAGUAAAUAAAAUUGUAUGGUAAAGAA
rnacentral:lncRNA from 1 species